rnacentral:rRNA from 1 species
CACGUAGGGUGCAAGCGUUGUCCGGAAUUAUUGGGCGUAAAGGGCUCGUAGGCGGUCCGUCACGUCGGGAGUGAAAACUCGGGGCUCAACCCCGAGCCUGCUUUCGAUACGGGCGGACUAGAGGUAGGUAGGGGAGAACGGAAUUCCUAGUGUAGCGGUGAAAUGCGCAGAUAUUAGGAGGAACACCGGUGGCGAAGGCGCCACUCUGGGCCGAAACUGACGCUGAGGAGCGAAAGCGUGGGUAGCAAACAGG